AAGAGACUGUACAAAAACCUGAACACAGAUAUCUGACUCCUCUUCAAAGAGGAGGGAAGUGGUAUUCAAACCACAGCUUCAUAUCAGAUGGAUUCUGCUAAUUCCUCUUUUAUCAGAGUCACUGUGGUUACAGCUGCUACAACAUACAGUGAUAUGAGAGGAGGAACAGGCUGAGGGAGGAGCAACACUGUCAAAGAGCAGGACAGACAACAACUCCCACUGUCAGAUGCAUUCAAUAUCUAAAGCAUACAUAACACAGAUACUGUGUGUAAGAUGCUCUCACUGCUUUACUGUGGAAUGUUUCCUUUGGUUCUCAUCAUACUAAAAGGUGUCAGCUGUACACAACUGACUCCAGUCAAGGAUGAAGAGUUCAGUUCAGAAGGCAGCUCUGUUACUCUGUCCUACACAUACUCCAAAAAAGCAACUAAUGAAAAUUUCUUCUGGUAUCGACAACAUCCAGGAAAACCACCACAGUUCCUCAUCUCUCACACAGGGAAAGGACAAGAAAUAUCAUCAGGUCCAGUCUCUGAACUGACUGUUACUGUGAGUCGGGAUCAAACCCAAAUGGAUCUGCAGAUCUCCUCUGCUGCAGUGACAGACUCUGCUGUGUACUACUGUGCUGUGAAGCCCACAGUGACAGGAAACAGCACAACUCUGUACAAAAACCUUUGGAGCAAAGACAACAGAAUACUCCACAACAUCCACUAGAGGGAGUCACACACUGUUCAACUUCAAUGGUUUCUUGUGAUCCAGUCUGGAUGCUUUUUACUCAUGAGACACAGCUGUGAUGAAGAGCUUUAGAAAUGAAGAUAAUCUGACACCAGUCUCCUCCUACUGACCUGUAGAGGAGGCUGUUUGGCAGAGAAC